rnacentral:lncRNA from 1 species
ACACAUCUCCUCUGAAACAUAAGAAUCGAUCGUCCCUUUCCAUUAUCCAUCCACCAAAUCAAAACUCUGCCACAAUUUCAACUUAGGACCGGUUAGAUCUCCAGAUCUGACAAAAUCGAUUCUAUUAGAACCAUCUCCGACUCUUCCUCUUCGCCGAUUAAUGGCACUUGGGCCCGCCGUGACCCUCCGAAUGCAGUAGCGGGCCUAGCGGCACCGGGGGUAUAGUCUUCGCAGCCGUGGCUGCCGACAUCGACAGGUUGAGAGCAGAUUUUCGGCGAACGAGAGGGUGGUGGUCGUCAGUCAAAGCAGCGGAGAGGCCAGACUUGUCAGGC